CAGCAGCCGCGGUAAUAUGUAGGUGGCAAGCGUUGUCCGGAAUUAUUGGGCGUAAAGCGCAUGUAGGCGGUAAUUUAAGUCUGUCGUGAAACUGCGGGGCUCAGCCCCGUAUGGCGAUGGAAACUGGGUUACUUGAGUGCAGGAGAGGAAAGGGGAACUCCCAGUGUAGCGGUGAAAUGCGUAGAGAUUGGGAGGAACACCAGUGGCGAAGGCGACUUACUGGACUGUAACCGACGCUGAGGCGCGAAAGUGUAGGGAGCAAACAGGAUUAGAUACCCUGGUAGUCCACACUGUAAACGAUGAAUGCUAGGUGUAGGGGGUAUCGACCCCUUCUGUGCCGCAGUUAACACAAUAAGCAUUCCGCCUGGGGAGGACGGCCGCAAGGUUAAACUCAAAGAAAUUGACGG
rnacentral:rRNA from 1 species